rnacentral:rRNA from 1 species
AUUGAACGCUGGCGGCAGGCCUAACACAUGCAAGUCGAACGAGUGGCGGACGGGUGAGUAAUGUCUGGGAAACUGCCUGAUGGUGGGGGAUAACUACUGGAAACGGUAGCUAAUACCGCAUACCAUCAGAUGUGCCCAGAUUGGAUUAGCUUGUUGGUGGGGUAACGGCUCACCAAGGCAACGAUCCCUAGCUGGUCUGAGAGGAUGACCAGCCACACUGGAACUGAGACACGGUCCAGACUCCUACGGGAGGCAGCAGUGGGGAAUAUUGCACAAUGGGCGCAAGCCUGAUAAAGCCAUGCCGCGUGUAUGAAGAAGGCCUUCGGGUUGUAAAGUACUUUCGGCAGAGAAGCGUUACCCGCAGAAGAAGCACCGGCUAACUCCGUGCCAGCAGCCGCGGUAAUUC